GGUAAGUACUUGACAUGCCUGGAUUACUGCAAUCAGCACGUUCUUAGCACUUUCUUCUUUGGCUCCCCACCGCGCGCAGGUUGGCGUACGCUGAACUGGACCCUCGCAGCAAGAAUGGCACGUGGGAAUUGACACCGCGAUCGUGGAACACAUGGCUGAUCUGCCUCGAAUAACUGCAAGCCGGCGCGUGCGUAGUGCCGUGGAGAACGAUCAGAAGUCCUGGACGACAAAGAAAAAAACUUCAAAGCUGCCUCUGCGAACCCCGCUCCUGGACAACAGCUGGGAGGCUCUGUGUUUAAACGCGUGCACCUUGGACGUCGUGCUCGUAAAUACCAAUUCAUUUGUCAUUCCUGGCAUGAAUUUCGUUGGUAAAGCAAUAGGUAAAAUUGUGCAUUGUUGUUUACAAUCACUUCAGUAUGAACCAGGCUUAAAGGAGAAGGGACCGACAACUGGCCAGAACUUGUGAUUAGAUCCUGUCAGAAAUGAAAAUACCGCGCUAUAUGCUGACAUAUUCCAGCAUCCUUUUCGCGCUGUGAGUAGGAUUUAUAUCUCUAAAUUGUGUUUAAAAGUGACCAAAAAAGGUAUGUUGUGCAACCUAUCGCAAGAGCCUUGAAGCUAGAUUGCGGAGUUGAUCACUUUGCUGUACAAAGUCACGUAGUCUGAUACCGUCAUGUGUGCCAUUAUUGGUCCUAAAAAUAUUAGUAUGUAUAUUACUAUCCAUCCCCGCUCUAUUCCGUGCUGCUUAUGAGGUAAAAGGAGUUGCAUGGUGAAAAGAAACGGCGCUGCCUUCGCGGUAGCCAGUGGACCAUGUCGAGCCGCAGCGCAUGCGCGCGAGUACACACACACGCAGUAAACCACCGCGCUCGAACACGAACCGCUGUCACGCUCACUGUUUGCAGCAUGUCUUGUCACGUGUGUAUACGACUUCAUAUCCGUCGCAGAUAGAAGA